ensembl:lncRNA
GAAGUCGCUCAAAUACUGUGAAAUAAAUAUGGAGUCAGUAUUAUCAUUCCCAUUUUACAGAUGGUGGGACUGAGAUUCAGUUUCCAUGAAACGCUGAAAGUGGCACAGUCAACAAACAGGAACUAAGGUCAACGGACUCUGAGUUGUUUUAUUUAUUCAGCAGACUUUGGGUUUCCACCAUGCGUCAGGCACAGAGCUGGGCUCGGGGUUGGGGGGUGCGGAGAGGGGCACGGGCAGUGCACUGGGGACUCAGACUGACACCAGCAAGGUCCUCAGGCAGCAAGCAUCCAAUCCGUGAGCUCCAGGUAGGUCAGGCGGCUCCACACUACUUUUAAAUCUUGGAAUGCAGAUGCAGAUGUGCUUUCCUGCAUGUGUCUGAAGAGUCGUGCCAUCUUCUCUCAGCUGAGUCCUCCCAAGUCAGAAAAUCAACUCAGAGAAAGGCUGGUGGGAAUUAGUUCAUUGGCUCCCUUGUCAGCUGACAUCGGCUGGGUCUAACGUGAGGUGGCUGAGGGCAGAGUAGAAGGUGAGAAAAUGAAAGAAAACAAGGUACUCUGCUAGAGCCUGGGGAGACAGGGAACAGGCAGAGAUGAUCCUUGCCCCCCAGAGCUUGUGGAGGAGACAGACAAAAAUGAGACAACUAACAUAGGAUCUAAAAACCAACAUUAAAGGCCAAGCUACCGAAUCUCCUCGGAAGGUUCUACCUUGUGUCGUGGCCGUCAACACAGCGGGAAAUGCAAUUUGCUGCUCAUCUUAGAGAUUUCCUUUCACACUCUGGGUGUGAGCAUAAAGGGAUUUCUCUUUACACUGGUUUCAUCCUUGUCUGAUCCUCUUUCCAAAGGCACCACAUUUCUCUAGAGAGUGUGUCCCAAAUGCCGUCUGUCUACGAAGCUCUUUACAAACAUUAAUAGACAAAUGGUUAGUUUAUAUAAAGCACACAUGUAUUGCUCUGACAUAAGCAGCGAGGAGCCCAGUUUACAUUUUUUGUCUUUCUUUUAAAAAGGAAUGAGAAAUCAUAUUCCAGAUGAUCCAACCUUUUAAGCCAGGGAGGGAACGAGUGAAGAAGGAACCAAGACUUAAAAGAGAUUUAAAUUUGAACCCUUUGUGAGCCCAGUGCAAACUGACAUAUGAGCGCCUGUUGUUCUUUAGAUGGGAAAGUAGAUCUUGAAUUUACUUUCCCACCUUCAGCUCUCCACUUCUCUGCCCUGAGCAGAUCCCCAGCACUGAGGUUAUUAAUGAGCACCUAUUUUAAAAACAGACUGAUACUGUCUCCCACUAAUAACAAUUGUAAUCGCAAUAAAGCAGUUUUUGCAUGAAGCCCCGACAAAACAGCAUACCUGAGUUUUCAGUGUUCACGUAUUCAGAAUUUUUUACA